rnacentral:rRNA from 1 species
AUGAGCAUGGUGGAUGGGCUAAACAGAUACAUUAAACUAUCUCAUGAUAGAUCUAUUAGGUUCUGGCCAGGGGAUAUCGAUAAAGUUUUCGGUAUCCCCUAUGGCAAGCUAGACAUACACAGUCUUGAAUAUCAACAAACCGAAAGUUCCGUUCAGUUUUUUAGAUCUGUGCUUGGUAUGCCUGACAAAGGGAAUCAAGUGAUGAAAUGUGUCGAAAUGGUUAUAAUGAAAGAUCUGAAUGAAUCAACUGCCAGUAAUUUAGAGAUUGACUGUUUCAAGAUGGCUUUAAUGAUUUUUUCCAUGGGCCACAUCCUGACACCGUCCACUAAACACGACCAGGCCAUCAUUGAUUACUGGUCAGCUAUUGCAAACACGGACUAA